rnacentral:rRNA from 1 species
CCGCGGUAAUACGGGAGUGGCAAGCGUUAUCCGGAAUUAUUGGGCGUAAAGCGUCCGCAGGCGGCCCUUCAAGUCUGCUGUUAAAAAGUGGAGCUUAACUCCAUCAUGGCAGUGGAAACUGUUGGGCUUGAGUGUGGUAGGGGCAGAGGGAAUUCCCGGUGUAGCGGUGAAAUGCGUAGAUAUCGGGAAGAACACCAGUGGCGAAGGCGCUCUGCUGGGCCAUCACUGACGCUCAUGGACGAAAGCCAGGGGAGCGAAAGGG